rnacentral:tRNA from 1 species
GGAGAGGUGCCGGAGCGGUUGAACGGGGCGGUCUUGAAAACCGUUGUGGCUCUUGGGUCACCGUGGGUUCGAAUCCCACCCUCUCCG